UGAUGACACUUUCUCCGGAAUCUCUGCACUUCCUUGAUGAUCCUCCUUUGAACCCUUUUCCAGCUGAUGACUGCACUGAAUUUUUU
ensembl:snoRNA Small nucleolar RNA MBII-202